rnacentral:rRNA from 1 species
AUUGAACGCUGGCGGCAGGCUUAACACAUGCAAGUCGAGCGGGGUGAUGGUGCUUGCACUAUCACUUAGCGGCGGACGGGUGAAUAAUGCUUAGGAAUCUGCCUAUUAGUGGGGGACAACAUCUCGAAGGGGAUGCUAAUACCGCAUACGUCCUACGGGAGAGAGCAGGGGAUCACUUGUGACCUUGCGCUAAUAGAUGAGCCUAAGUCGGAUUAGCUAGUUGGUGGGGUAAAGGCCUACCAAGGCGACGAUCUGUAGCGGGUCUGAGAGGAUGAUCCGCCACACUGGGACUGAGACGCGGCCCGGACUCCUACGGGAGGCAGCAGUGGGGAAUAUUGGACAAUGGGGGGAACCCUGAUCCAGCCACGCCGCGUGUGUGAAGAAGGCCUUAUGGUUGUAAAGCACUUUAAGCGAGGAGGAGGCUCUUUUGGUUAAUACCCAAGAUGAGUGGACGUUACUCGCAGAAUAAGCACCGGCUAACUCUGUGCCAGCAGCCGCCGUAA